AUUGAACGCUGGCGGAAUGCUUUACACAUGCAAGUCGAACGGCAGCACGGACUUCGGUCUGGUGGCGAGUGGCGAACGGGUGAGUAAUGUAUCGGAACGUGCCCAGUCGUGGGGGAUAACGUAGUGAAAACUACGCUAAUACCGCAUACGAUCUAUGGAUGAAAGCGGGGGAUCGCAAGACCUCGCGCGAUUGGAGCGGCCGAUAUCAGAUUAGGUAGUUGGUGGGGUAAAGGCCCACCAAGCCAACGAUCUGUAGCUGGUCUGAGAGGACGAACAGCCACACGGGAACUGGGACACGGUCCAGACUCCUACGGGAGGCAGCAGUGGGGAAUUUUGUACAAUGGGCGAAAGCCUGAUCCAGCCAUUCCGCGUGCAGGAUGAAGGCCCUCGGGUUGUAAACUGCUUUUGUACAGAACGAAAAGGUUUCUACUAAUACUAGGAGCUCAUGACGGUACUGUAAGAAUAAGCACCGGCUAACUACGUGCCAGCAGCCGCUGUAA
rnacentral:rRNA from 1 species